UACGUAGGGUGCGAGCGUUGUCCGGAAUUAUUGGGCGUAAAGAGCUUGUAGGCGGUUUGUCGCGUCUGCCGUGAAAAUCCGAGGCUCAACCUCGGACUUGCGGUGGGUACGGGCAGACUAGAGUGUGGUAGGGGAGACUGGAAUUCCUGGUGUAGCGGUGAAAUGCGCAGAUAUCAGGAGGAACACCGAUGGCGAAGGCAGGUCUCUGGGCAUUAACUGGCGCUGAGGAGCGAAAGCAUGGGGAGCGAACAGG
rnacentral:rRNA from 1 species